rnacentral:rRNA from 1 species
GAUGAACGCUGGCGGCGUGCCUAAUACAUGCAAGUCGAGCGAACGGACGAGAAGCUUGCUUCUCUGAUGUUAGCGGCGGACGGGUGAGUAACACGUGGAUAACCUACCUAUAAGACUGGGAUAACUUCGGGAAACCGGAGCUAAUACCGGAUAAUAUUUUGAACCGCAUGGUUCAAAAGUGAAAGACGGUCUUGCUGUCACUUAUAGAUGGAUCCGCGCUGCAUUAGCUAGUUGGUAAGGUAACGGCUUACCAAGGCAACGAUGCAUAGCCGACCUGAGAGGGUGGUCGGCCACCCUGGAACUUAGACACGGUCCAGACUCCUACGGGAGGCAGCAGUAGGGAAUCUUCCGCAAUGGGCGAAAGCCUGACGGAGCAACGCCGCGUGAGUGAUGAAGGUCUUCGGAUCGUAAAACUCUGUUAUUAGGGAAGAACAUAUGUGUAAGUAACUGUGCACAUCUUGACGGUACCUAAUCAGAAAGCCACGGCUAACUACGUG